CCUACGGGGGGCAGCAGUGGGGAAUAUUGGACAAUGGGGGGAACCCUGAUCCAGCCAUGCCGCGUGUGUGAAGAAGGCCCUCGGGUUGUAAAGCACUUUCAGUGAGGAAGAACGCCUGGUGGUUAAUACCCAUCAGGAAAGACAUCACUCACAGAAGAAGCACCGGCUAACUCCGUGCCAGCAGCCGCGGUAAUACGGAGGGUGCGAGCGUUAAUCGGAAUUACUGGGCGUAAAGCGCGCGUAGGUGGCUGGAUAAGCCGGUUGUGAAAGCCCCGGGCUCAACCUGGGAACGGCAUCCGGAACUGUCAAGCUAGAGUGCAGGAGAGGAAGGUAGAAUUCCCAGUGUAGCGGUGAAAUGCGUAGAGAUCGGGAGGAAUACCAGUGGCGAAGGCGGCCUUCUGGACUGACACUGACACUGAGGUGCGAAAGCGUGGGUAGCAAACAGGAUUAGAUACCCUGGUAGUC
rnacentral:rRNA from 1 species